GACGAACGCUGGCGGCGUGCUUAACACAUGCAAGUCGAACGGAAAGGCCCUGCUUUUGUUGGGUGCUCGAGUGGCGAACGGGUGAGUAACACGUGAGUAACCUGCCCUUGACUUUGGGAUAACUUCAGGAAACUGGGGCUAAUACCGUAUAGGAGCUCCUGCUGCAUGGUGGGGGUUGGAAAGUUUCGGCGGUUGGGGAUGGACGCGCGGCUUAUCAGCUUGUUGGUGGGGUAGUUGCUUACCAAGGCUUUGACGGGUAGCCGGCCUGAGAGGGUGACCGGCAACAUUGGGACUGGGAUACGGCCCAGACUCCUACGGGAGGCAGCAGUGGGGAAUAUUGCACAAGGGGCGGAAGCCGGAGGCAGCAACGCCGCGUGCGGGAUACCGGCCUUCGGGUUGUAACCCGCUUUAGCAUGUGACGAAGCGUGAGUGACGGUAAUGGGUAAAGAAGCACCGGCUAACUACGUG
rnacentral:rRNA from 1 species